UACGUAGGGGGCGAGCGUUGCCCGGAUUCAUUGGGCGUAAAGAGCUCGUAGGCGGCUUGGCAAGUCGGGUGUGAAACCUCCAGGCUCAACCUGGAGACGCCACCCGAUACUGCCAUGGCUAGAGUCCGGUAGGGGACCACGGAAUUCCUGGUGUAGCGGUGAAAUGCGCAGAUAUCAGGAGGAACACCGGUGGCGAAGGCGGGAUCCUGGGCCAGUACUGACGCUGAGGAGCGAAAGCGUGGGGAGCAAACGGG
rnacentral:rRNA from 1 species